rnacentral:lncRNA from 1 species
AGGAAGAGCUCGAGGUAGUGCCUCCUGUCAUUAAGCUAAAGAAUUUCUCACUGAAUCAUCUGAAGCAUAACAUUGAUGAGACACAGUUAACCUGUAUUCUUGUCUGCUGCGGAGUGGAGGAAUAAAAGCUUUCUGGUAUGUAAGUUCAAAGAAAUGGACCUUUUACCAGAUUUGAACAGUUGUCUUGGGAAUGCAGAUUUAUGAAAAUUGAUACCCUGUCUUUGUCC